GCCAGGCGUGGUGGCUCACGCCUGUAAUCCCAGCACUUUGGGAGGCUGAGGUGGGUGGAUCACUUGAGGUCAGGAGUUUGAGACCAGCCUGGCCAACAUGGUGAAACCCCGUCUCUA
ensembl:misc_RNA Metazoa_SRP Metazoan signal recognition particle RNA